AACACUGUUAACCUGCGGUACCUGCGGAAGGAUCAUUACCGAGUUUACAACUCCCAAACCCCUGUGAACAUACCACUUGUUGCCUCGGCGGAUCAGCCCGCUCCCGGUAAAACGGGACGGCCCGCCAGAGGACCCCUAAACUCUGUUUCUAUAUGUAACUUCUGAGUAAAACCAUAAAUAAAUCAAAACUUUUAGCAAUGGAUCU
rnacentral:misc_RNA from 1 species